UACGGGGGGAGCAAGCGUUGUUCGGAUUUACUGGGCGUAAAGGGCGCGUAGGCGGCCACCGCAAGUCGACUGUGAAAUCUCUGGGCUUAACCCAGAACGGUCAGCUGAUACUGCGGGGCUAGAGUGCAGAAGGGGCAACUGGAAUUCUCGGUGUAGCGGUGAAAUGCGUAGAUAUCGAGAGGAACACCUGCGGCGAAGGCGGGUUGCUGGGCUGACACUGACGCUGACAGCGCGAAAGCUAGGGGAGCGAACGGG
rnacentral:rRNA from 1 species